AACAUAUUGUCAUCUGCGUUUGUACUUUGUGAUUCCGUUUGUAAUUGCAUUAUUCCUCUUGUCCCCUGUAUAAAUAGUUGAGUUGAAUUUCCCAGCUACCCCUCAUUUAUAAUGAAGUGCUAUUGGGAUUGGGCUAUUAUGUUUUAUUAUAAGUAACAACAAUUUAUUUUACAGCUCCUGAACAAAACUCCACAUAAUCGCCUUGGAGCAGGAGAACACGGGGCUGAGGAUAUAAAGAACUCAGCUUUCUUCCAGGGAUUCGACUGGGAAGCUCUUAUGAAAAAACAAAUUCAGGCCCCAUUUAUUCCCAAGAGGAAUAGAACGGAAUCUUCUCAGCAAUCUAAAAAAUCCCUGGAACUGAAGCCAGACAUGAUCCCAGAACCAUUGUGGGAAGAAACCAAAUGGGCCUUAAAAGAACUUGAAUAUAUUGUGGAAACAUGAAAAGCAUAAAUGCCUAUAAAUAUGUGGCAUAAGAAUGCCUUGAACACAUGGACCUCAAUGGGCCUGGAAUGAAGAAUCUUUUGGUGUUAUGGAGAAGAGGUGUUGGGGAUGGAAAUAAUUAACCAGGCCAGAAGUUUGCAUUGAGGUCCCUAGGUCCGUAUUCGAAGCUCCCGAGCUAUGGAUUAUUUACACUGAACUCGGGAACGGCGCAGACAAGAUGCAUCAUCUGAAUUCUUGUAACGCUACCAACCCUGGUGGUCUAGUGGGACGGGGGGGACCUCCUCCAUAGCCCACCGGGGGUAGGUACUGUUACAGAGAUCAGUAUAAAAUGAUCAAGAGGAGAAUACGACAGACGGGCCGAGAAUCCGGCAGUGAUAUGGACCAGGAGUGUUGGGGGCAACAAGUCGGAGCACCUAAUGCCCCUGGGUCACUAGUUUGUGCCACUGACAAUAAUAUUAAAUAAAAAUACAUUGAAAAUUA